UAGGUCACUCUCUGCCUCGCCUCACGCCAAUCACCGCCAGCCGCUCACAACUCCUUACCGGGGCAUCAGGACUUCGUACAUGCCCGAACCACAUGAGCCUCGCUUCUCGCAUCUUCUCGUCUACCGGAGCCACCCCCACCUUCUCUCGAAUAACUUCAUUCUUAAUCUUAUCUAAGCUGGUGAUCCCGCACAUCCACCUGUUAUCCACCUAAGCAGUGAAAAGGUUGUCAAUACCAACUAAAAAAACAAUUAUAACUCACUAACAACAUGAACGAGCAUUCUACCUAUUUACUUUUAACCAAAUUCAGCGAGAAAAGAAAGCAUGAAAUGUUAAUGCAUCAAACAUGGCAGGUCUAACAACUCUAUAAAAUUUCUCCUUGAGUUUCUGUGGCACUUUCUUGUCACACAAGGCUCCUGAUGCAAACCUCCACUUCGACCACCCCGCUCCUAUACGGUGAGUGACAUACCCGUCAAUCUCUCCGCCCCCCUGAAUCACCGACCCAAAAUAUCUAAAACUAUCCCUCUUGGCGAUGACCUGAGAUCCAAUCUUCACGUCCCUGCGCCUACAUCGCUCGGCUCUUCGCUAAACUUGCACUCCAGGUUUCUAUCUUAGAUCUGCUUAUUCUGAAACCUUUAGACCUCCCUUCCCCUUCGUUGCACAAAAUAAGUUGAGAAUCUUUUUUGCGAAGUGUCAUUUCUUGCUGAAAAUGCUAUUUGCCUGUACAUCACACAAUAUGCAUCUCUAGGUCUCCUUUUCUAUUUUCCUCCCAGGAAUAUACUCAUAAUAUCAUCCUCUGCUUUAGCCUCUGAUUUCACAUUUUGCGAGUCUGGUUCAAGCUUGACCAUAAAGCUUCUGGCCUCGUGUUCUGGAAUUUCACUGAUAAAUCCAGCGCAACAACAAGUAAACAUGGAGCCAGAGCAAUGUCAGUAGUUCAAUAUAUUAAAGAAGUUAGAUGUAUGACCAGACCUGUCUGGAGCUUCCGUCUUGGUUAUCAAGGUCAUUCCAUGAGAUGCAAGAUAUUGACAAAAACUUCUCAGGUCUUUUUCUUGGCAGAAUUUAUACAGGUGGCACAAGAAAUCAUUGAACUGCUUUGGUUCCUAAACAGGUCAAAUUGGUGUUGCUUCGUUAGAUAAAAUGGGCUCUUAGCACAGAUAAUCAAUAUUUAACUAGUACAAAAAGAGAAGACAGAAACAUACUUGCUCAAGGAUGCAACCUCUGCGUAGAGCCACUAAACAUUCCAAUGCUUUAUCAUAUGUAUCCCCUUCACAAGAAUUCUCUACUAGAUCAAAGGUCUUAUUUUUCAUAUCCUGAAUGGCCUUACUAAUCCAUCCUGGAUUAUCUCUUCGAGACAUCAUCUCCUCAAAGUCUUUAACAGGAUUUAUGUCUCCAAUUUUCUCAACUUUAACUUUGGAUGAGUAUCCUAUGGAGUCAAUAGCCUUGGCAUCAGCAUCUUUGUCGAACUCUUCAUUUGUCUUUGGAUGAGUAUCCUAUGGAGUCAAUCGCCUUGGCAUCAGCAUCUUUGUCGAACUCUUCUCCUUCCCCAUCUGAUCCUGAAGGUCUCUCUUUCAGAAUUCUUCUAGUUGAUUUUUUCAGCUGCACGUUAAUGAUAUAUAAAAGUUAAUAAGACUUAAAAACCUCCAUCGCUGGACUAUUCUAGAAUGUCUAAUUUGAAUAAAGGAUGAAUAUUGAAGUUACCUUUGGAUUCUCUUUUAGUUCAAAAGACCUACGGAAUUCCUCUAUGAUGGACUUGUUUCGAGAAAGAAAUUCAACAUCAGGUUCUGUUAUUUUUCUGAGGGUUUCAUCAAGUGGAGGAACAGCUGCAUCUGGGUGCUUUGACUUCAAGUCAAGAUAGCGGUAGUAAUGCUGGAUAUUUGCAGAAUCGUAGUUGUUUAGAAAAUCAGAGCAAAAGGCGGUUAUAGCGCACAAUCAGAAUUCUUAAGUUAUGACUUUUCUUAUUUCACAUUAGGAAAGCAAGAGUUCGCAGACAAGCAGCACCAUUUAUAUUCUUAAGACCCGACUCUCCAGGGCCCUGUCAUGCACAUAUAUUUUAUAUGAAGUACCACCUAGAACCUUAUAACAUGGAGUUAUGGAAGUGAUUAAUUUUUUCGAGAAUGAAUUAUGGAAGUGAUUAAUCAAAUCAAGUUAUCCACCUAAGCAGUGAAAAGGUUGUCAAUACCAACUAAAAAAACAAUUAUAACUCACUAACAACAUGAACGAGCAUUCUACCUAUUUACUUUUAACCAAAUUCAGCGAGAAAAGAAAGCAUGAAAUGUUAAUGCAUCAGUUUGCUAAUUGCUACAAUGACUGUGACCAACUGGCAAGAACAUAUUUUAACAAUAAUAUUUCUAUAUUCAGGCAACUCUUCACAAAAAAAAAAAAAAGCAGAUGAUGGUCUCAAUCAGUGACCUAAGUGAAAGGGUAGUUUCAAACUUAAAUAGUACAAUGAUAUCCUGCAACCAGCGUGAUAAAAUACCUCCAGAACAGGAUUAGGUAUAAAGUCAGGUGGCAAAAUUUCCUGUUUUCCAGGUGGUGCAAGAUCUAACAUCUGAACCAAUUUAUCUGCUGCCUCUUGUUGCUUUUCAUUUGGCUGCAUUGAUGAAGGCAGACUGCUGAAAGAAGGAAACUGGAACUCCCGAACAUCCUCAGCAAAGGGAAGAAUAUUGAAGUAAAAUGAGUCAGGCUGCCAAAGCAAUGAUCAUGAGAAUGUCAACAAUCUAAGAAUGGAAUAUCCACAAAAACAAGUGAACAGAACAAUCAAAAGUUGAAAAUUUAAACCAUACAGUAUUAUCCUCGUC
rnacentral:lncRNA from 1 species